GGGAAGGUGGCUCAAUGGUAGAGCACUUGCCUUGCAUGCAUGAGGCCCUGGGUUCGAUUCCUUACCACUACA
rnacentral:tRNA from 1 species